GAAUCCUAGUCUUCCUCCAACUCUUUUCAACUUUCUGGUCUACUUCUGCAUCUGGUUCUAGAUUCUUACAAGCUGCUGGGUCAUGGAAAAGCUUUGGUUUCCUGGCAGAAGAAUCAAGAAAAAUGCAGAAGACAGGGUGAGAGUGAGUGUGUUUGAGGUGACUUUAGAUAUACAGAACUCCCACUGACUACCAAAAGUUUUGUCUGG